rnacentral:rRNA from 1 species
GCACUAUACGGUGAAACUGCGAAUGGCUCAUUAAAUCAGUUAUCGUUUAUUUGAUAGUACCUUACUACUUGGAUAACCGUGGUAAUUCUAGAGCUAAUACAUGCUAAAAACCCCGACUUCGGAAGGGGUGUAUUUAUUAGAUAAAAAACCAGCGCCCUUCGGGGCUCCUUGGUGAUUCAUAAUAACUAAACGAAUCGCAUGGCCUUGCGCCGGCGAUGGUUCAUUCAAAUUUCUGCCCUAUCAACUUUCGAUGGUAGGAUAGUGGCCUACCAUGGUAUCAACGGGUAACGGGGAAUUAGGGUUCUAUUCCGGAGAGGGAGCCUGAGAAACGGCUACCACAUCCAAGGAAGGCAGCAGGCGCGCAAAUUACCCAAUCCCGACACGGGGAGGUAGUGACAAUAAAUACUGAUACAGGGCUCUUUUGGGUCUUGUAAUUGGAAUGAGUACAAUUUAAAUCCCUUAACGAGGAACAAUUGGAGGGCAAGUCUGGUGCCAGCAGCCGCGGUAAUUCCAGCUCCAAUAGCGUAUAUUAAAGUUGUUGCAGUUAAAAAGCUCGUAGUUGAACCUUGGGCCUGGCUGGCCGGUCCGCCUCACCGCGUGUACUGGUCCGGCCGGGCCUUUCCUUCUGGGGAGCCGCAUGCCCUUCACUGGGCGUGUUGGGGAACCAGGACUUUUACUUUGAAAAAAUUAGAGUGUUCAAAGCAGGCCUUUGCUCGAAUACAUUAGCAUGGAAUAAUAGAAUAGGACGUGCGGUUCUAUUUUGUUGGUUUCUAGGACCGCCGUAAUGAUUAAUAGGGAUAGUCGGGGGCAUCAGUAUUCAAUUGUCAGAGGUGAAAUUCUUGGAUUUAUUGAAGACUAACUACUGCGAAAGCAUUUGCCAAGGAUGUUUUCAUUAAUCAGUGAACGAAAGUUAGGGGAUCGAAGACGAUCAGAUACCGUCGUAGUCUUAACCAUAAACUAUGCCGACUAGGGAUCGGGCGAUGUUAUCAUUUUGACUCGCUCGGCACCUUACGAGAAAUCAAAGUCUUUGG